AAAUAUUUUGGCAGCCAAAUUGCUCCGAGUUCCAUGUCUCCAACUCGAAAGCCGCAAAUCCGUUCAGUCGACGCACGAACGGUGACCACGUCACUCUCCAUCCAAGACAAAAGCGCUAAAAUCAAUGCAAUAAUGGAAUUUUCAAAACAUGACAAAUGAAAUACUCACCUAAUUGGACAAAAACCGGCGCAAUUGUUAUUGUUUUGCAGAGCAAGUUGUCUCAUGGCAGGCAAAACACAAACCACGUGACAUCGCCAGCCAGCAAGUUCCAGCUUCAAGCUCCAGCCAACCACCGACCGCGACCGUGCUGCCCUCUCCUCACACCGAAAGUUAAAGUUGAGAGACUGCACCGGCCGCCCAGCUGGACAAGUAAACAAACCAACCAAGAAGUAACAAACAAUGCCAACGACAAACAAAUUCUCUCACUCCAACCGCAGGCCGUGGCCGCUCUGGCCGCUGCCCCGCUCAAUGAGACCUGCCUGCUUGCACAACAACAAUUUCGCCACCAACAAUUGCAAAACUCCUUCGCAACAGUAUCUUUGAGGUACCAGAGAUGGCCAGACUCCAAUUACCUCACGAGCACCAUCUGCUGCCAUGGCUGAGCGCAUCUACAAGUUGAACUACACCAAGAGCGCCCUGCCAGGUAGCACCUGCAGAACCAGAGAACGACAACUACGCACACGCCAGUCACCACCUGUCACCUGCCGGUACCAUUUGAAGGACGCGAGGGCGCGUCCAAGCUAAACGGGAGGCAGUCUGUGGUGACAUCCAGAACGACCGCGAAUUAUGUCGACUCCAAGAAUAAAUGAAUUGUAUUAUAUAUAUGUAUCUCUGCGAGUAAUUCAAAUAAGGCCAAUUUAGCUUUUAAUGAGGAAACAUUAAAUUCAAUCCGAAUCCUACACGUGCGCGAUUUUCCAAAUUCCCGCCGAGCAUCGUCCUGACGCCGUACCUGAGAUGACCAAGCGGCGCGCUGUGGCCAAAACAGGCCCUCGCGUUUCUUCCCACGCCGCGCGCAUCCCUUUGGCCCAAUCAAACCCAAAGUUGAGCCUGGAAGCGGGACCUGAGAGCCCCGAAGCCUCAGACGAGCGACGCCCGAACCGCAGACAAGACCUUUGUCACCUUUUUCCGAGCAAUGGUCAAUGGCGACCACGUUGUGUAAUUUCUAAAAUCAUUGGUAAUUAUCCGUUUUAUCGUUUCCUCAAGUUCCGAACAAUCAAGCUAGCUUUUAUAAAUCUCAUUUUGGCCAGUACUGUAUUUUAUCCAUGCUUAUUUUAAUUAAAACUUAAACUUUAUUUUAAACUUUAA